rnacentral:tRNA from 3 species
GCGGGUGUGGCGGAACUGGCAGACGCGCAGGAUUUAGGGUCCUGUUCUCCGGAGUGAGGGUUCGAGUCCCUCCACCCGCACCA